GAGAUUAUUAAAGGCUUUCUUACUCACUGCCUUGCGCGGACUUUUACCUGAACCCUCAAAAGAGCAUUCGCUUGCGACCACUUACUGGAAAGACUUGCCUUAUCCCUAUCCCUUGUUUGCUGGAUUUCCCUUGCCAGAUUUCCUUUCAAAACUACUGCUUGUCCUGUUAGUCCGUUAGAUCGCAUGGACAGAACUCCUAAUUCCUAAUUAAUGGCUGGCAGGUAACGGGAAAUGAAUGGAAUGGCAUUGGCUUAUGGGGCACUCCCUCUGGAUGGAUUAAGAGAACUGGCCUCGUCCCACAGCAAAGGAAGAAAGAGGCUUGCUCACA
rnacentral:lncRNA from 1 species